rnacentral:rRNA from 1 species
AGCGAACGCUGGCGGCGUGCUUAACACAUGCAAGUCGAACGUGAAAUGUAGCAAUACAGAGUAAAGUGGCGUACGGGUGAGUAACACGUGGGUAAUCUACCAAAGAGCCUGGAAUAACCGACCGAAAGGUUGGCUAAUACUGGAUAGUUCAAGCCGUUUAUAAUGGACGGAUUGGGAAAGGGAGCGAGCAAUCGCCUUCACUUUUUGAUGAGCCCGCGUCUGAUUAGCUAGUUGGUGAGGUAAUGGCUCACCAAGGCUGAGAUCAGUAGCUGGCCUGAGAGGAUGAUCAGCCACACUGGAACUGAAACACGGUCCAGACUCCUACGGGAGGCAGCAGUGGGGAAUCUUGCGCAAUGGACGAAAGUCUGACGCAGCCACGCCGCGUGAGUGAAGAAGGCCUUCGGGUUGUAAAGCUCUGUCGGAAGGGACAAAAACGUUUAGGGUUAAUAGCCCUAGAUCUUGAUGGUACCUUCAAAGGAAGCACCGGCUAACUUCGUGCCAGCAGCCGCAGUAAAAC